UACAGAGGUCCCAAGCGUUGUUCGGAUUCACUGGGCGUAAAGGGUGCGUAGGUGGUUGGGUAAGUCUGAUGUGAAAUCUCCGGGCUCAACCCGGAAAUGGCAUUGGAUACUAUUCGGCUAGAGGUUUGGAGGGGGGACUGGAAUUCUCGGUGUAGCAGUGAAAUGCGUAGAUAUCGAGAGGAGCACCAGUGGCGAAGGCGAGUCCCUGGACAACACCUGACACUGAGGCACGAAAGCUAGGGGAGCAAACAGG
rnacentral:rRNA from 1 species